GUCGUGAGAUGUUGGGUUAAGUCCCGCAACGAGCGCAACCCUUGUCCUAUGUUGCCAGCGGGUAAUGCCGGGGACUCGUAGGAGACUGCCGGGGUCAACUCGGAGGAAGGUGGGGACGACGUCAAGUCAUCAUGCCCCUUAUGUCCAGGGCUGCAAACAUGCUACAAUGGCCGGUACAAAGGGCUGCUAGCUCGCGAGAGUAAGCGAAUCCCAUAAAGCCGGUCUCAGUUCGGAUUGGAGUCUGCAACUCGACUCCAUGAAGCCGGAGUUGCUAGUAAUCCCGGAUCAGCACUGCCGGGGUGAAUACGUUCCCGGGCCUUGUACACACCGCCCGUCACACCACGAAAGUCGGCAACACCCGAAGCCGGUGGCCCAACCCUCUGGGAGGGAGCCGUCGAAGGUGGGGUCGGUGAUUGGGGUGAAGUCGUAACAAGGUAGCCGUACCGGAAGGUGCGGCUGGAUCACCUCCUUUCUAAGGAGUUGUCUCUCGUUUCAGACGAGACAGCUACCGAGUUGAUCACUGACGCUCGACCUUGUCCUCUCUUUCGUUUUGAGGGAGCAGCACCGCGUGCCGGCACCGCCGGCAUCGUCUGCUCACUCAGUUGCACGUUGAGAACUGCAGAGCGAGCACGAGCAUCUUUAGUAGUUCUUCCAAGCUACAAAGAGCCAACGGUGGAUGCCUUGGCGUCUCGAACCGAUGAAGGACGUGAGCGACUGCGAAAAGCUACGGGGAGCUGUCUACUAAGCACUGAUCCGUAGAUAU
rnacentral:sRNA from 1 species